rnacentral:snoRNA from 1 species
ACCCUCUAGUUCCCUUUCCCAAUGGAUCUGAAAAUGACUGUAUAGCUGCAAAAGGAGGAAAAGAUUCAAGCUGAAUUCACAUUGCUGUGGUCAUAGUAUGUAUGCUAGUUUCAAACAGGU